CAGUAGCCGCGGUAAUACGAAGGGGGCUAGCGUUGCUCGGAAUGACUGGGCGUAAGGGGCGCGUAGGCGGUUUUGACAGUCAGAUGUGAAAUUCCUGGGCUUAACCUGGGGGCUGCAUUUGAGACGUCAAGACUAGAGUGUGAGAGAGGGUUGUGGAAUUCCCAGUGUAGAGGUGAAAUUCGUAGAUAUUGGGAAGAACACCGGUGGCGAAGGCGGCAACCUGGCUCAUUACUGACGCUGAGGCGCGAAAGCGUGGGGAGCAAACAGGAUUAGAUACCCCCGUAGUCCCUGUCUCUUAUAC
rnacentral:rRNA from 1 species